UACGUAGGGUGCGAGCGUUAAUCGGAAUUACUGGGCGUAAAGUGUGCGCAGGCGGCUGAGCAAGUCGAGUGUGAAAGCCCCGAGCUUAACUUGGGAACUGCGCUCGAAACUACUUGGCUAGAGUGUGGCAGAGGGAGGUGGAAUUCCACGUGUAGCGGUGAAAUGCGUAGAGAUCCGGAGGAACACCGACGGCGCAGGCAGCGUCCUGGCCGCUUGCUGACACUGAGGCACGAAAGCUGGGGGAGCAAACAGG
rnacentral:rRNA from 1 species